rnacentral:piRNA from 1 species
UGAAAGGUGUGACCUGUUGUGAGGAGCC